GGGAGGGGAGGUAGGCGGGCGAGGGAGAGGGAGAGGGCGAUGGCGGCGGCGGGGAGGAGGACGAGGAGGCCAUGCGUGGUGGGCUGCAGCGGGAAGGAUAGGGGGAAGGGAAAAGGGGUGUCGGGCGCCGCGGCGAGGUCGGCCCAGCCGUUGUACGCCGAUGCCGACGCCGACGGGGAGGAGGACGCAGAAGGAGAUCGGAGACAGCUGAGGCGAGGCGGGAUGGACGUGGGUGGAAGCGACCUCCUCGUCCUCAACGGCAAGAAGAGGGGCCGUGUGGCGAGGAGGCUCCGGCUAGAAGGGGAGGAACUUGCAGCCAUCGGACAGGAGGAUAGGACUGGAG
rnacentral:misc_RNA from 1 species